CACAUGCAAGUCGAACGGUAACAGGAAGCAGCUUGCUGCUUCGCUGACGAGUGGCGGACGGGUGAGUAAUGUCUGGGAAACUGCCUGAUGGAGGGGGAUAACUACUGGAAACGGUGGCUAAUACCGCAUAAUGUCGCAAGACCAAAGAGGGGGACCUUCGGGCCUCUUGCCAUCAGAUGUGCCCAGAUGGGAUUAGCUUGUUGGUGAGGUAACGGCUCACCAAGGCGACGAUCCCUAGCUGGUCUGAGAGGAUGACCAGCCACACUGGAACUGAGACACGGUCCAGACUCCUACGGGAGGCAGCAGUGGGGAAUAUUGCACAAUGGGCGCAAGCCUGAUGCAGCCAUGCCGCGUGUAUGAAGAAGGCCUUCGGGUUGUAAAGUACUUUCAGCGGGGAGGAAGGUGUUGUGGUUAAUAACCACAGCAAUUGACGUUACCCGCAGAAGAAGCACCGGCUAACUCCGUGCCAGCAGCCGCGGUAAUACGGAGGGUGCAAGCGUUAAUCGGAAUUACUGGGCGUAAAGCGCACGCAGGCGGUCUGUCAAGUCGGAUGUGAAAUCCCCGGGCUCAACCUGGGAACUGCAUUCGAAACUGGCAGGCUUGAGUCUUGUAGAGGGGGGUAGAAUUCCAGGUGUAGCGGUGAAAUGCGUAGAGAUCUGGAGGAAUACCGGUGGCGAAGGCGGCCCCCUGGACAAAGACUGACGCUCAGGUGCGAAAGCGUGGGGAGCAAACAGGAUUAGAUACCCUGGUAGUCCACGCCGUAAACGAUGUCUACUUGGAGGUUGUGCCCUUGAGGCGUGGCUUCCGGAGCUAACGCGUUAAGUAGACCGCCUGGGGAGUACGGCCGCAAGGUUAAAACUCAAAUGAAUUGACGGGGGCCCGCACAAGCGGUGGAGCAUGUGGUUUAAUUCGAUGCAACGCGAAGAACCUUACCUGGUCUUGACAUCCACAGAACUUUCCAGAGAUGGAUUGGUGCCUUCGGGAACUGUGAGACAGGUGCUGCAUGGCUGUCGUCAGCUCGUGUUGUGAAAUGUUGGGUUAAGUCCCGCAACGAGCGCAACCCUUAUCCUUUGUUGCCAGCGGUCCGGCCGGGAACUCAAAGGAGACUGCCAGUGAUAAACUGGAGGAAGGUGGGGAUGACGUCAAGUCAUCAUGGCCCUUACGACCAGGGCUACACACGUGCUACAAUGGCGCAUACAAAGAGAAGCGACCUCGCGAGAGCAAGCGGACCUCAUAAAGUGCGUCGUAGUCCGGAUUGGAGUCUGCAACUCGACUCCAUGAAGUCGGAAUCGCUAGUAAUCGUGGAUCAGAAUGCCACGGUGAAUACGUUCCCGGGCCUUGUACACACCGCCCGUCACACCAUGGGAGUGGGUUGCAAAAGAAGUAGGUAGCUUAACCUUCGGGAGGGCGCUUACCACUUUGUGAUUCAUGACUGGGGUGAAGUCGUAACAAGGUAACCGUAGGGGAACCUGC
rnacentral:rRNA from 1 species